rnacentral:rRNA from 1 species
UACCCAUAAGUUGUGUCCACUAAUAUUGGGCCUAAAGCGUCUGUAGCCUGUCCAAAAAGUUUUUGGUGAAAUCUACAAGCCUAACUUGUAGGCGAGCCAAAAAUACUCUUGGACUCGAGGCCGGGAGAAGUCAAAGGAAUUCCUGAGGUAGCGGUGAAAUGCUAUGAUCUUAGGAGGACCACCAGUAGCGAAGGCGUUUGACUAGAACGGACCUGACGGUGAGAGACGAAAGCUGGGGGAUCGACCCGGAUUAGAUACCCGGUUAGUCCCAGCUGUAAACGAUGCAGACUAGGUGUCCUAUCAGCUAUAAGCUGUAGGGGUGCCGAAGGGAAGCCAUUAAUUCUGCCGCCUGGGAAGUACGGCCGCAAGACUGAAACUUAAUGGAAUUGGCGGGGGCGCACUACAAGGGUGGAUGCUGCCGUUUAAUUGGAUACGACGCCAGAUAAUUUACCAAGGGUUUACAGCCGAAUGAUGACAUCUGAAGGGCUUUCCUGACCCCC